CCCAUCGGCGAAGAUGAGCUCAUCUCCUUCAUCAUCGCCGGCCUCGACAUGGAAUAUCAGUCCAUCAUCUCCGCCCUUGACGUGCGUGUUGAUCCUGUCUCCACCGAUGAACUCUUUGGCAUGAUCUCCGACU
rnacentral:snoRNA from 1 species